rnacentral:rRNA from 1 species
GGACGUGAAAGCCUACAGCUCAACUGUAGGAACGGCCUUUGAUACUGAAAGACUUGAGUUAUUAUGAAGUGGUUAGAAUGUGUGGUGUAGCGGUGAAAUGCAUAGAUAUSACACAGAACACCGAUUGCGAAGGCAGAUCACUAAUAUWAUACUGACGCUCAUGGACGAAAGCGUGGGGAGCGAACAGGAUUAGAUACCCUGGUAGUCCACGCCGUAAACGAUGAAYACUAGMUGUUGGCCUAACAUUGKCUAUAUGAGCG